AUAUUGACCUUUGACAGUCAAGCUGCCACAUUUUGGAUUUAAAUUAUCUGGUUAAAUCAGCAGCUUUACAAGCCAAGAUCACAAAUGUGCUUGCUGACAUAUUUAACAAUGUAUUAAUUUGCUUUUGUUUCUACCGUUUUUCAUUUUUUAAGGAUGACAAGACGAUGACAAGACCUGAACAACCUGGUCAUGGUGAAAAUCCCAACCAGCAAACCGAUAUUCCUGCCCCCAAGAAGCACCACUUCUGUCCUGUCUCCAUUGCAAUUCCUCUCUGCCACCCUGGCCUUUCGGGCGGCCCACAUCCCUGUGCCCAGAAUAAUGAUGUAGAAGAACAGCACCGCAACCACACCAGGAAUGUUCAGAGCCAUGGUGGUCUGCCACUGUGGAGCACACUGACAGCAAGGAGGAGAGGUUCAGUGUUGAUGAGGAUGGCCCAGCAAGGGAAACAGGCCAACAGCAGAAUCAAAAUCCCCCUCUGGAGAAUCACACCAACUCGCUUCAAGUUAC